UGCCAACUUGAACUUGACGCCUGUCAGGCC
rnacentral:piRNA from 1 species